rnacentral:rRNA from 1 species
UACGUAGGGUGCGAGCGUUGUCCGGAAUUACUGGGCGUAAAGAGCUCGUAGGUGGUUUGUCACGUCUGCUGUGAAAUCCCGAGGCUCAACCUCGGGCCUGCAGUGGGUACGGGCAGACUGGAGUGCGGUAGGGGAGAAUGGAAUUCCUGGUGUAGCGGUGGAAUGCGCAGAUAUCAGGAGGAACACCGAUGGCGAAGGCAGUUCUCUGGGCCGUAACUGACGCUGAGGAGCGAAAGCGUGGGGAGCGAACAGG